AUAGAUUAUUUGAACCCAUACAAGGUCAUCUAGAUAGAUGCAUCAUCCAUCCUAGUUAGGCACCAUUGUCUGGUCAUCAUUAAAUUUCAAUCUUAUCAAAAAAAUNUGUGGUGUGGUGUUAUGCCCAUGCAUGCAGGAAGCAUAAUAUCCUAGAAAGGCCUUGAUUGUUCGAUCAGGAUGCAAUGUUUCAUGAUCGAUCCAACUCAUA
rnacentral:lncRNA from 1 species